rnacentral:rRNA from 1 species
GACGAACGCUGGCGGCGUGCUUAACACAUGCAAGUCGAACGGAAAGGCCCUGCUUGCAGGGUGCUCGAGUGGCGAACGGGUGAGUAACACGUGGGUGAUCUGCCCCUUACUUUGGGAUAAGCCUGGGAAACUGGGUCUAAUACUGGAUAGGACCAUGCUGUAGGUGGUGUGGUGGAAAGAUUAGUUUCGGUAAGGGAUGAGCUCGCGGCCUAUCAGCUUGUUGGUGGGGUAAUGGCCUACCAAGGCGUCGACGGGUAGCCGGCCUGAGAGGGUGGACGGCCACGUUGGGACUGAGAGACGGCCCAGACUCCUACGGGAGGCAGCAGUGGGGAAUAUUGCACAAGGGGCGCAAGCCUGAUGCAGCGACGCCGCGUGGGGGAUGACGGCCUUCGGGUUGGAAACUCCUUUCAGCCAUGACGAAGCCCUUGUGGUGACGGUAGUGGUAGAAGAAGCACCGGCUAACUACGUG